GACGAACGCUGGCGGCGUGCUUAACACAUGCAAGUCGAACGCUGAAGCUCAGCUUGCUGGGUGGAUGAGUGGCGAACGGGUGAGUAACACGUGAGUAACCUGCCCUCUUCUUUGGGAUAACGCCCGGAAACGGGUGCUAAUACUGGAUAUUCACUGAUGCUCGCAUGGGGGUUGGUGGAAAGGUUUUUUCUGGUGGGGGAUGGGCUCGCGGCCUAUCAGCUUGUUGGUGGGGUGAUGGCCUACCAAGGCUUUGACGGGUAGCCGGCCUGAGAGGGUGACCGGUCACAUUGGGACUGAGAUACGGCCCAGACUCCUACGGGAGGCAGCAGUGGGGAAUAGUGCACAAUGGGCGAAAGCCUGAUGCAGCGACGCCGCGUGAGGGAUGGAGGCCUUCGGGUUGUAAACCUCUUUCGCUCAUGGUCAAGCCGCAGCUUUGGGUUGUGGUGAGGGUAGUGGGUAAAGAAGCGCCGGCUAACUACGUG
rnacentral:rRNA from 1 species